GAUGAACGCUAGCUACAGGCUUAACACAUGCAAGUCGAACGGAGGGGCGAACGGGGGAGUAAUGUAUCGGAACGUGCCCAGGAGCGGGGGAGAACUACGCGAAAGCGUAGCUAAUACCGCAUACUAUUGGAGCGGCCGAUAUCGGAUUAGCUAGUUGGUGGGGGAACGGCGCACCAAGGCGACGAUCCGUAGCUGGUUUGAGAGGACGACCAGCCACACUGGGACUGAGACACGGCCCAGACUCCUACGGUAUGCAGCAGUGGGGAAUUUUGGACAAUGGGGGAAACCCUGAUCCAGCCAUCCCGCGUGUGCGAUGAAGGCCUUCGGGUUGUAAAGCACUUUUGGCAGGAAAGCGGUACCUGCAGAAUAAGCACCGGCUAACUACGUGCCAGCAGCCGCGGUAAUAC
rnacentral:rRNA from 1 species